rnacentral:rRNA from 1 species
GAUGAACGCCGACAGAAUGCUUAACACAUGCAAGUCAACUUGAACUUCGGUUUGGGUGGCGGACGGGUGAGUAACGCGUAAAGAACUUGCCUCACAGCUAGGGACAACAUUUGGAAACGAAUGCUAAUACCUGAUAUUAUGAUUUUAGGGCAUCCUAGAAUUAUGACAGCUAUAUGCGCUGUGAGAGAGCUUUGCGUCCCAUUAGCUAGUUGGAGAGGUAACGGCUCACCAAGGCGAUGAUGGGUAGCCGGCCUGAGAGGGUGAGCGGCCACAAGGGGACUGAGACACGGCCCUUACUCCUACGGGAGGCAGCAGUGGGGAAUAUUGGACAAUGGACCAAGAGUCUGAUCCAGCAAUUCUGUGUGCACGAUGAAGUUUUUCGGAAUGUAAAGUGCUUUCAGUUGGGAAGAAAAAAAUGACGGUACCAACAGAAGAAGUGACGGCUAAAUACGUG